rnacentral:rRNA from 1 species
AUGAACGCUGGCGGUAUGCUUAACACAUGCAAGUCGAACGGUCUCUUCGGAGAUAGUGGCGGACGGGUGAGUAACGCGUGAGAAUCUGGCUCUAGGUCUGGGACAACAGUUGGAAACGACUGCUAAUACCGGAUGUGCCGAAAGGUGAAAGGCUUGCUGCCUAGAGAUGAGCUCGCGUCUGAUUAGCUAGUAGGUGUGGCAAAAGCGCACCUAGGCGACGAUCGGUAGCUGGUCUGAGAGGAUGAUCAGCCACACUGGGACUGAGACACGGCCCAGACUCCUACGGGAGGCAGCAGUGGGGAAUUUUCCGCAAUGGGCGAAAGCCUGACGGAGCAAUACCGCGUGAGGGAGGAAGGCUCUUGGGUUGUAAACCUCUUUCUCAAGGAAUAAAAAAAUGAAGGUACUUGAGGAAUCAGCAUCGGCUAACUCCGUGCCAGCAGCCGCGGUAAUACGGAGGAUGCAAGCGUUUAUCCGGAAUGAUUGGGCGUAAAGCGUCCGCAGGUGGCCCUGUAAGUCUGCUGUUAAAGAGUGAGGCUUAACCUCAUAAAAGCAGUGGAAACUACAGAGCUAGAGUGCGUUCGGGGCAGAAGGAAUUCCUGGUGUAGCGGUGAAAUGCGUAGAGAUCAGGAAGAACACCGGUGGCGAAGGCGUUCUGCUAGGCCGCAACUGACACUGAGGGACGAAAGCUAGGGGAGCGAAUGGGAUUAGAUACCCCAGUAGUCCUAGCCGUAAACGAUGGAUACUAGGCGUUGCGAGUAUCGACCCUCGCAGUGCCGGAGCCAACGCGUUAAGUAUCCCGCCUGGGGAGUACGCACGCAAGUGUGAAACUCAAAGGAAUUGACGGGGGCCCGCACAAGCGUGGAGUAUGUGGUUUAAUUCGAUUGCAACGCGAAGAACCUUACCAAGACUUGACAUGUCGCGAACUCUUCUGAAAGGAAGAGGUGCCUUCGGGAGCGCGAACACAGGUGGUGCAUGGCUGUCGCAGCUCGUGUCGUGAGAUGUUGGGUUAAGUCCCGCAACGAGCGCAACCCUCGUUUUUAGUUGCCAGCAUUAAGUUGGGCACUCUAGAGAGACUGCGGUGACAAACCGGAGGAAGGUGGGGAUGACGUCAAGUCAGCAUGCCCCUUACGUCUUGGGCUACACACGUACUACAAUGCGUCGAACAGAGGGCAGCAAGCUAGCGAUAGCAAGCAAAUCCGGAAAUCGGCGCUCAGUUCAGAUCGCAGGCUGCAACUCGCCUGCGUGAAGGAGGAAUCGCUAGUAAUUGCAGGUCAGCAUACUGCAGUGAAUUCGUUCCCGGGCCUUGUACACACCGCCCGUCACACCAUGGAAGCUGGUCACGCCCGAAGUCAUUACCCCAACUUUUCGGAGAGGGGGAUGCCUAAGGUAGGACUGGUGACUGGGGUG